rnacentral:lncRNA from 1 species
AUGGCACGUGUUCCAUUUUUAACACCUCCUGCGCUUCACUUCCUCUUUGUCCUCCUCUCAAGGGAUCGGCUACCCGAUGUUCUCCCAUGCCAAUCUAAGCAGAGCUCUGGAGAUGAAGGGCCCGCCACCCCUGAACCUGGGCUGCGAUGGCAGGCGAACGGAACCGCACCUAAGCGUCCCCGGCGUCCGGCCCGGCGCGGGCAGCACGAGAGUGCUGUAUCACCCCGGGAACCACGUGAUGGCCAUGGGGAAAACAGAAUACCCUUACCCGGGUUUCCCUCACUCUGUGAGUUUGCAGCGGGGUGGAGUGACACCGUGGCCGCCGUCACAGCCCCAGGAAGCACACGCGUCUCAGAUCAGCCAAGGGAUGUCCAGCGGAGGGUGCUCUCUCGCAGCGCAGACCUCUUCGCCAGCGCCGCCCGCUCAUCCUUCGCUCAACCUCAGCAUCAAAUCGGAGCGCGUCUCUCCCGAGCACCCCGGCUCCCCGGCCACCCCCCCGCCGCACCGCAUCGGGCGCCAGUCGCCCGCCGGCAACCCCGAGACGGCAGGCCGCGGCCGCGGCCGCCCCGAGCCCUACGCGGCCCGAGACGGGGAGGAGAUGCAGAAGGGAAGCUACCCGUCUCAACACGGCACAGCCCAGGCGCCUUCAGAGGACAAGGCGGGGAUUCCCAUCAGGCAGUUAGAGAUCGUAGACGGCUGGCAGAGAUAACCGGGCGGCUCCGUCUCUUCAACGCGUGUGAGUUUUCUCUGUCCGCGGAACGGAGGCGUCCUUCACGGACUUUUAAUUUCGGUGCCCGAGGUUAA